AACGUGAGCGCUAGCUUACGUGGAGGCGCUGGUGGGAUACUACCCUAGCUGUGUUGGCUUUCUAACCCGCACCACUUAUCGUGGUGGGAGACAGUGUCAGGCGGGCAGUUUGACUGGGGCGGUCGCCUCCUAAAAGGUAACGGAGGCGCUCAAAGGUUCCCUCAGAAUGGUUGGAAAUCAUUCAUAGAGUGUAAAGGCAUAAGGGAGCUUGACUGCGAGACCUACAAGUCGAGCAGGGUCGAAAGACGGACUUAGUGAUCCGGUGGUUCCGCAUGGAAGGGCCAUCGCUCAACGGAUAAAAGCUACCCCGGGGAUAACAGGCUUAUCUCCCCCAAGAGUUCACAUCGACGGGGAGGUUUGGCACCUCGAUGUCGGCUCAUCGCAUCCUGGGGCU
rnacentral:rRNA from 1 species